rnacentral:tRNA from 1 species
GGGGAUUUGGCUCAGUGGUAGAGUGCUUGCCUAGCAAGCGCAAGGUCCUGAGUUCAAUCCCCA